GUGUGUGUGUGUGUGUAUGUAUCUAGAUCUAUAUAUAUAUAUAUAUAUAUAUAUUAUAUAUAUAUAUAGAUCUAGAUAUCCAUAUAGCACCUACAUAUAGAUCUAGAUACAUACACACACACACACACACAC